rnacentral:lncRNA from 12 species
AUGAUAAGAGGAUACAGAUCCGUGUGCCUGGAAUCUAGCAGGGCUCAGAAACCACAGCUAUUGUCAGUGAGGGUCACAGCAGAGGAAGCAAAAAGUGGAUAUGGAAUUAAUAGAACUAUGCAGCACGUGGACAGACCGCCGUGUGAUGGUAAAUCUAACAGGCUCGGAGGAGGGGAGAACCCUGACUUGCAGUGUUUGCCCGUUUCCACGGGGCGCAUGUUCUCACCGCGGCCGAUUUCAAGCUCCCAACGUGACGGGACUGAGCGCAGUCAGGAGGAGGGCUCAGCAGCUCGUCACGUCGUUUCCGUGGAUUUCCGCGCUGCGGGUACAACAGGUGAGAGCACAGAUGACAGCAAUACGUAGAAAAGUCAUCAGAAAAUGAUGAGUUGGGACACCUCAGGGGCUCAGUGGCAGGACGUCUCCCUUGGGCUCAGGGCAUGAUCCUGGGGUCCCGGGAUCGAGUCCUACGUCAGGUACCCCGCAUGGAGCCUGCCUCUCCCUCUGCCUGUGUCUCUGCCUCUCUCUCUGUGUCUCUCAUGAGUAAAUAAGUAAAUAAUUAAAAAAAAAAAGAGAGAGAGAGAGAGAAAGUGAUGAGUUUGGGAUAUUUAUUACCUUUUUUUUUUUUUUUUUUAAAGAUUUUAUUCAUUGGGUAGCCCGGGUGGCUCAGCAGUUCAGUGCUGCCUUCAGCCCAGGGCCUGAUCCUGGA